rnacentral:rRNA from 1 species
CUACGGGACGCUCCAGUAGGGAAUAUUGCACAAUGGACGAAAGUCUGAUGCAGCAACGCCGCGUGCGCGAUGAAGGCCUUCGGGUUGUAAAGCGCUUUUCUGAGGGAAGAGGAAGGACGGUACCUCAGGAAUAAGUCUCGGCUAACUACGUGCCAGCAGCCGCGGUAACACGUAGGAGGCAAGCGUUAUCCGGAUUUACUGGGCGUAAAGCGCGUGCAGGCGGUUUGGCAAGUCGGAUGUGAAAGCUCCUGGCUCAACUAGGAGAUGCCGUUCGAAACUGCCAGACUCGAGGACGGUAGAGGGAGAUGGAAUUCCCGGUGUAGUAGUGAAAUGCGUAGAUAUCGGGAGGAACACCAGAGGCGAAGGCGGUCUCCUGGGCCGGUCCUGACGCUAAGACGCGAAAGCAUGGGUAGCGAACGGGAUUAGAUACCCCUGUAGUC